rnacentral:rRNA from 1 species
UACAGAGGUCUCAAGCGUUGUUCGGAUUCAUUGGGCGUAAAGGGUGCGUAGGCGGCGCGGUAAGUCGGGUGUGAAAUCUCGGGGCUUAACUCCGAAACUGCAUUCGAUACUGCCGUGCUUGAGGACUGGAGAGGAGACUGGAAUUUACGGUGUAGCGGUGAAAUGCGUAGAUAUCGUAAGGAAGACCAGUGGCGAAGGCGGGUCUCUGGACAGUUCCUGACGCUGAGAACACGGAAGGCCAGGGGAGCAAACGGG